GGAUUGAAUAUGUAUACCAAGUUUCUUACUGUUGAAGAAGGAAGCGACAAUUGUGAAAAGAGGAAAGGUAACUCUGGAAGAAGACUGGCUGGAGGUUUCAGAAAACAGAUUUUGGUGUUGAAUGUAAGAGAGUUCCUCCUCUAACAUGAACAUUAAAAAAAAAAUUAAUCUGAAA